rnacentral:rRNA from 1 species
UACGGAGGGUGCAAGCGUUAUCCGGAUUCACUGGGUUUAAAGGGUGUGUAGGCGGAUAUUUAAGUCCGAGGUGAAAUCUCUGAGCUCAACUCAGAAACUGCCUUGGAUACUAUUUAUCUUGAAUAUCGUUGAGGUAGGCGGAAUAUGUCAUGUAGCGGUGAAAUGCUUAGAUAUGACAUAGAACACCGAUUGCGAAGGCAGCUUGCUAAACGAUUAUUGACGCUGAGGCACGAGAGCGUGGGGAUCAAACAGG